UACUCCCUCCGUCCCUAAAUACUUUUCCUGUUUCUCCUUUUCACGUUUGCCAACACACACUUUUGAUCAUUAAUAUCUUUAAUUUUAUAUUAGUAUUAAAUAUAAAAAUUUCACUGUAUUAAAGUACUCGUAAAUACGAACCCAACAAGAUCACUCAUGACUAUAUUUAGUAUUAUAGAUUAGACGUAAAUUAGUCAUUUGUCUCAUGUUAUGAACAGUCCCG
rnacentral:lncRNA from 1 species